GCUAAGGCCCCUAAAUGAAUGCUAAGUGGUAAAGGAGGUGAAAAUGCUAAGACAUCCAGAAGGUUUGCUUAGAAGCAGCCAUCCUUAAAAGAGUGCGUAAUAGCUCACUGGUAAAGCGUUUUCGCGCCGAAAAUGAACGGGACUAAGCAAUCUGCCGAAGCUGUGAGUUGAAAUUCGAAAAAACGAAUUUUUGCGGUAGGGGAGCGUUCCGCUCUAGGGUGAAGUAUUUACGGAAAUAAAUAUCGACGAAGCGGAAGUGAGAAUGUCGGCUUGAGUAACGCAAACAUUGGUGAGAAUCCUUUGCCCCGAAAACCUAAGGGUUCCUUCGCAAGACUCGUUCACGAAGGGUUAGUCAGGUCCUAAGGCGAGGCUGAAAAGCGUAGUCGAUGGAAAACAGGUUAAUAUUCCUGUACUAGUUUUUAGUUGAUACCGAGGGACGAAGAAAAUAAAAAAUUAGCCAGAUUCGGAUGGUUGGCAGAGCGACAUGUUCAAGUUUUUCAAAAAAGAGAUUAGAAGAAAAACUAAUCUGACGAACUAGUACACGACUUACUCUCACUAGUGGAAAUUGGUAACAAGAUCCAUCAAGUGUAAUAUUUUAUUAAGCUUCCUAGAAAAGCUCGUAGUAUUGUUAAAUAAAAUUACCUGUACCGUAACCGCCACAGGUAGGUAGGUAGAGUAUACUGAGGGCGCGNGAUACUCUCUCUAAGAACU
rnacentral:rRNA from 1 species